rnacentral:lncRNA from 1 species
GCUGCCCCCGGAGCUCCGCCUCCUCCAAUCAGCGGCCGCGCUGGCGGGCAGGGGUUAACCAGGGGACCCCGCACCGGCGGAACAGGCCGCGCCUGACAGGGCUGCUGAGGGCGGGCGGCUGGCGGCGCUUGCGGCCCCGCCUGCGACGUGAGGGGUGGUUGGUCGGCUCGGGGGCGCCGGGUAAGCGGCCGGGGCCGGAGCCUCGGGAGCCCGCCUUUGUGGAGACAGAGUCGGAGGCCGACGGUUGGGCUGCGCCUCAGGCCGCGGAGCAGCGUCGGAGCGGCGACCCGGCGGGACUGCCGCGCUCGCCCUGCCUCUCAUCUACACACAUUUUUUGGGGUGAGGAAAGAGGUUGCUCUGCCCAGCGAUGGAUCCGAGGAGAGAGCCCGGGAGCGGGGCAAGGGGUGUCACUGAGUUCGCGGUGCCCACCCGAUGUCCGCCAGCCGGCCAUCCCCCGCAGCCAUGGUCCACGUCCCCAGACCCCACGCCACGCCACGCCACGCCACAGGCACGGAAAGCCGGCCGGCGGCUCUCGCCUUCCACGUACCUGACUGGCCUGGCGUCUCCAGGGACAAAGGUGUCCUGGGAUCACAGCCGAGCCCUCACCAGCAUGCCCCCCUCCAGAGCGGAGGUCGCUACCCGCCCCCCGGGGAACUCUCUCAAAGCACCUAGGGGGAGGUUCCAUCUUAACCUCCGGUGACAAGAUGGCCCUCCUGGGGUGCUGGGGGCCUGCUCUUCAGAGUGUCUGCUGAGAGGGUGAGCGCCUGCGACAGGAGGGCUUUCCUGCAUGGGAAAGGGUUCCACCUCUGACCCCAGCGCCAAAGGGGGAAAAAGUCACUUUCUUCACCUAGUUUCACGAGCCAAGACACGGACUUCAAAGUAACGACUCAGCUUUUUGUUUUCUUCUGAUGCUUCCUUGACCAGAUGUCUGAACGUGUCUGAAGGACUACAAGGGAAUCACAAGAGAAACAUUCAAGCUUUUACACAGCCGGCUUGAACUUUUCCAGGCGUUGGCAAGUACUCCAAAGUAGAAUUCUGUUAUUAUUAAUUUUUCCACAUAUUGACUGGACAGAGACCUGCCAAAUGGGCAAAGGAUGAUAAUUCCUUUUUGUACAUUCUCCAUCCUUCAGAACUCAAGUAGAAAAACUCAAAUUGGGAGUCAUCUUCCAGAUCCCAGGCUGCUUGGAAAGAUGAACGUUUUGAAGGGAAGAGGGGAAGAGCAAGUCAGGAGCAAAGGGUAGGGAAAGGGGGCAAGGAGGAGCCCCCAGAAUGCAGUCAGUCUCAAGCAUGAAAAUGAUGAACAAAAGGAGUGCACUGUGGCUCCUCAAGUCUGCACAGUGGGAAAACAAAGACAGUUCUUUGAUUAUAGUGAGAUCAAGAAAAUAACACCCACAUUCCCAUAACUUGGGAGACUGAGAUGAAACAAGAUUGCCAGCCUGGGUAUCUUAAGACCAAAAGAAAGGGGCCUGGAGAGAUGACUCCGUGGUUAAGAUUGGCACUGUUCUUGGGUUUGCUCCAAAACAUCUACACCCGUAAGGCUUCCAUGGACAGUGCGUUCAUGUGCACACACAGACAUAAUUAAAAAUAAAUCUGAAAAGAAUAUGGCCUGCAACUGACUAUGCAGCAUGGGCUGGCCUUAGGUGGUGGGUCCUUCGACCUCUUUCAGAGUUCUGGGAUUACAGGCAUGCAGCCACUAUACACAGCCUAAAAAUAACUCCUUAAAUAACACUAGAGUGUCAUAAAUUAGGAGAGGAGACCAGAAGAGAAAGAGAAAUGGACAGUUGAAACUGAGUUCUUCCAGCUGGUCCACAAACAAGUUGUCUGGGCCAAUUAUCUAAUCGUUUCAAGUUUCACCAACCUUGUGCUAGAGCUAGAGGAUUCCCAGUGCCCUUUCUAGACCACAGGUCCCAUUUUCAGCUUUUUGUUUUGAUAAAAGGUCUAAUGUAUAGCUGAGGCUAACCUAGAUCUCCCACUGGCUGAAGAUACUGUCAAACUUCUGGUCCUCCUGCUCCUGCUUUCCAAGAGCUAGGAUUAAUUAUAAGCUAGGCAAGCAGUCUACCAACUGAACUACAUUCCAAGCACACAGACUCACCUUUAUCUGUUUUCAGAGAGUCUCACUAUGUAGCCAAGAUUGUUCUAAAUUCUCAGUCCUUUUGUCCCAGGCCCUAGGAGCUGGCAGUAUAGGCAUAUGCCCUGAUGCCUGUUUCCUGAGUGCAGUUUUAAAGGAACCAUUUGAAGACAGAUGAAAUUUUUAGUUUCACCUUUUUGGGGGGGAAGAUGGGGGGUCAAGACAGGGUUUCUCUGUGUAGCCCUGGCUGUCCUGAAACUCAUAGAGAUCCGCCUGCCUCUGCCUCCCGAGAGCUGGGAUUAAAGGCGAAUGCCACCACUGCCCAGCAAUUUUAAUUUUCUAUAAA